CAUGCUUUGCAUAGGAAGUCUUUAGUUCGUACUUCUUUUAUCCAAUUUUCAUUUUUGAUUUUUCUAGAAUGACUCACUCAAUUAUUAUUCUGUAAUUUGAAGCCCAAGAUUUGGAUAUGAUACUGUUCACAUCAGAUACUCGGUCUUCUAUCAAAAUUAAAUAUAGUUGAUAUGGUUGCAAUUGCAAUUGAGGUGAGUUAAAAAAACCUUUAUGAUGCAAGCUGCAAUUACCCAGAAGUCUAUAUUAGAACUAAUUUAAUUUUCUUAUACCAAUACAUCAUUAUUUUAACUUUAAAUUAAGAGAUUGCAAGGUCCCUGAGGCGCACCCGCCAUACAAAUAGCUAUAACUUUUAUGGUAAUCUCUUAAUCCCACAGUCUAUUGUACAAAUUCUGCUAUGUGUAGUACUAUAAAUUUUAAAUUUUUAAUAAUUCAAUUUCCUUUCUUUAAUUGACUAAGCACAUCGUGCAUUGUAACAGAGCCAUCUGGGCAUGUAGAUCAAGAACUGCUUCAAUUUCACUCCAUAAAUAACAGCGAUGAGGUUCACAGGCUGCUGUAACGCCUAAUAGGAGAAAAUUGAUGGUAAAUGAAGAACAUAACAAGAAUCUGAAGCAGGAAUUGGACUAAACGUAAGUGGCCUCCACGUUUGGUGUAGAAUGCACGUUCAUCUAUUGUGCCAUCUAUCGAGUUCCUCUUCCCACAUCAAAGAAUCUCGAAAAGAGAAAUUUUAAAACGGGAAAAAAGGAUGAUAAAAGAGGGAGAAAACUUCGUUGCAAUAAUUAACAUGAUAGCCGUGUAUCGAUUAGCUUGCUACUGAGAA